GAUGAACGCUGGCGGCGUGCCUAAUACAUGCAAGUCGAGCGAACAGACGAGGAGCUUGCUCCUCUGACGUUAGCGGCGGACGGGCGAGUAACACGUGGAUAACCUACCUAUAAGACUGGGAUAACUUCGGGAAACCGGAGCUAAUACCGGAUAAUAUAUUGAACCGCAUGGUUCAAUAGUGAAAGACGGUUUUGCUGUCACUUAUAGAUGGAUCCGCGCCGCAUUAGCUAGUUGGUAAGGUAACGGCUUACCAAGGCGACGAUGCGUAGCCGACCUGAGAGGGUGAUCGGCCACACUGGAACUGAGACACGGUCCAGACUCCUACGGGAGGCAGCAGUAGGGAAUCUGCCGCAAUGGGCGAAAGCCUGACGGAGCAACGCCGCGUGAGUGAUGAAGGUCUUCGGAUCGUAAAACUCUGUUAUUAGGGAAGAACAAAUGUGUAAGUAACUAUGCACGUCUUGACGGUACCUAAUCAGAAAGCCACGGCUAACUACGUG
rnacentral:rRNA from 1 species